GUGGGGAAUCUUGCGCAAUGGGCGAAAGCCUGACGCAGCCAUGCCGCGUGAAUGAUGAAGGUCUUAGGAUUGUAAAAUUCUUUCACCGGGGACGAUAAUGACGGUACCCGGAGAAGAAGCUCCGGCUAACUUCGUGCCAGCAGCCGCGGUAAUACGAAGGGGGCUAGCGUUGCUCGGAAUUACUGGGCGUAAAGGGCGCGUAGGCGGACAGCUUAGUCAGAGGUGAAAGCCCAGGGCUCAACCUUGGAAUUGCCUUUGAUACUGGCUGUCUUGAGUUUGGGAGAGGUGAGUGGAACUCCGAGUGUAGAGGUGAAAUUCGUAGAUAUCUGGAGGAACAUCAGUGGCGAAGGCGGCCACCUGGACCGGUAUUGACGCUGAGGUGCGAAAGCGUGGGGAGCAAACAGGAUUAGAAACCCUGGUAGUCC
rnacentral:rRNA from 1 species